CCGCCAUGGCUACAUAAUCACUGACCCAUUUCACAAAAUAAUUCCUUCUUCUUCCCUCCAUCUCCUUUUCUCCCAUGGCGUAUCACAAUCACCUCUCUCAAGACCUUCCUCUUCACUUCUCUGACCAUCACCACCAAAAUCAACCUCUGUCUGAUUCUUCUUCUCUCCGUAACAUUUUGCCGGACCAACUUCCCGCCGGCCACACCUCGCCGGACCCCAAGUCUCAACAACCCCAUCAUCACCACCAUCAUCAACACCCUCUUCAGACUGCCCCCAAUUGGCUCAACAACGCACUCCUGCGUAACCAAAACCCCCAUUCUCACUUCUCUACCGACACCGCCACCACCGCCGCUGCUGCUAAUACUAAUUUCCUCAACCUUCAUACAACUGCAUCUGAUUCUACC
rnacentral:lncRNA from 1 species